UGCAGUGUUUUCUGGAGACUUGGACUAAAUGGACAAGUCAGACAGCUCCCAAGGUACCAAAAAAAACCAAAUUCAUCACCCAUCGAAAUAAUUGAUGUAUUUAGUAGAAUUGUGAACCGCAACAUUAGUAUAUUUGAUUCUGUCACAUUUAUGUAAACGAUGCAUGGGGUUCUUAGGAUUGAUUUCCACUCACUCUUAUUAUAAGUUAUUACCCCAAGCCAAAAUGAUAUUUUGAUAUAUAAAUGUGAAGAAGAAAACAGGUGUGUUUUCGUGAACAAGUCAAUAUGCAUAUUCGAUUUCCGAUUGAUUCUUAUAGGUCGAUGAUGUAUAACUGAAGAAGAGUUGGAGGCAACAUGGAUCCUUGAAAAACACCAGAGAUGAGGGUUAAGGUAUAGGCCAGAAAACCUUCGAAGCGACUUGGACCUGUAGACAUUGAAAUCUUCAAAUAUAGAAAUUUCAGGACUGAGAGGUUUGCAAAACACCGAUUGUGUUUGCAAGUGGAAGCUAUAGUGUCCUCAGAUUAAAAUAGAUUGAUUCUCAGUGAAUGUUAAAGUUUUGUCUUUCAUUUUCUGAAAUGGUGUUAAUAGAUCUAUGAUAGAAUAAAUAGAAUAGAAAUGAAUGAAUCGCACUGAAAUGUUCGGUUGAGUUAGUUCAUACACAAAAGUAACCUCGAAAAAAGACAAAAAUUUGAAAAAAUUCAUAACAAAAAUUGUAAGAACGCUAAUUUGUUAAGAAAAUGAAUUAUGUUGACCUGAAAAGAAAAUGAAUUGAUAGUGGGCUAAACAUUGACUGACAUGUCAAUUAUUUAGAAACAAUAAAAAAAGGAAUAAAAAUGUAAUAAUGUGAAACGGUCAAGGUAAAUGAUGGAAAACAUUUUUAUUUAAUGUUCUUUCAUUGAUUUCGAAUCUGUUAACACUAUUUCAAACAAUGAAAAUCCGAACUUGAAACAUUCAUGGUGCAAUUAAUUGUGUGUACCUUUAAGGUUUAUAGACGCAAUUUUGAAAAUCCUGUCAUUUUAUGUGAUGUUAUGAACCAGAUGUUAUGAACCUGAAGAAUCAAUCAAAGUUGAGAAUCCAUUCUUUCGUUGGUAAGAGAUGUCAAUUCCAAAGUGAUGUGGAAUGGAAGUCGAGAUAGGGUAAGGAAUGUCAUCAAAGUUUUUUUAGCACUGACUUGUUUCGUAUUUUUUAUAAUCAGCGAUAAUCAUGGAGGAGGUACUACUCUGGUCAAUUUUGGCAUGCUGUCUUGUGAAAAAUGAAAGAUUGAAUCGUCUCAGAAGUACCAGGCGUUCAAAGUGGUCGCGGAAGUGGCUUCUAAAAAGGCAGCAUUUCUUCUGUAUUACAUUACUGCGAGAAUUACGUGAUGAACCUAAUGAUUGGAGGAACUACGUGAGAAUGGAAAUAGAAACGUAUACCUAUUUAUUGGAAUUAGUAACACCGCAUAUCAUCAAAGAAAAUACUUGUAUGAGAACAGCAAUAUCACCACAUGAAAGGCUGACAGCAACUUUAAGAUUUUUGGCAACUGGCAGAAGUUACAAAGACCUAGAAUUCACAACAAUAAUAUCGAAACUAUCCUUAAGUGAAAUCAUUCCCGAAACAUGCAAAGCUAUCUUCAACGUGCUGAAAAAUGAAUACUUGAAGUUUCCAAAGACUGAAAAGGAGUGACUGGAAGUUGCAGCUGAGUUUGAACGACUGUGGCAGUUCCCUCAUUGUUUAGGGUCAAUUGACGGAAAGCAUAUUAGGAUGGUGCCACCUAAAGGAAGUGGGUCCUAUUAUUUCAAGUACAAAAAAACCCACAGUGUUGUUCUUAUGGCAAUAGCCAAUGCCAAUUGCGAAUUUUUGUAUUGUGAUAUAGGCACAAACGGUAGGAUCUCAGAUGGAGGGGUCAUAAAUAACACUACAUUUUAUGAAAAGCUCGUUGACAACGAGUUGAGCAUUCCAAAAUGCCGGUGCAUUGAAAGUUCAAACAGGGUUUUAGGAUACGUUUUUGUUGGUGAUGAAGCUUUUGCUAUGAGUCGAGAACUUCUUAAACCUUAUCGACGAGAAGCAUUAACAAGGGAGUGAAGAAUUUUCAAUUACCGCCUAUCUAGGGCGAGGCGUGUUGUUGAAAACACAUUCGGAAUUUUGGCUUCAAGAUUUCGUAUUUUCCACACAAGUAUUAAUUUGAAGCUGGACAACGACGAUACUGUAGUUCUUGCGUGUUGCGCUUCACACAACUUUUUGCGCAGAAAAUCACCCCAAAACUACACACCUCCUGAAAGUAUGGAUCGGGAAAAUAUUUCUUAAUGUACUAUUGAAUUAGGUGAAAGAUGUGACCUGACCCACAAUUAUUACACGACCUACAGCGUGGAAGAAGAGGCCAGAUUUCCAAUAAUGCUAUCACAGUCAGAGAACAAUUCAAAGAGUACUUCAAUAAUGAUGGGUCUGUUCCUUGGCAAGAUAAAUUUAUAACUUUAAACAAUUAAUGGUGUCAUGUAUGUAAAUAAAUUAAUAAAACGAUUAUAUAAAGGAAAUUUUUUUCUUACCGGUUCUGAUGG